rnacentral:rRNA from 1 species
UACAGAGGGUGCGAGCGUUGUUCGGAAUUAUUGGGCGUAAAGGGCGCGUAGGCGGCGCCACAAGUCACUUGUGAAAACUCUGGGCUCAACCCAGAGCCUGCAGGCGAAACUGUGGUGCUGGAGUAUGGGAGAGGUGCGUGGAAUUCCCGGUGUAGCGGUGAAAUGCGUAGAGAUCGGGAGGAACACCAGUGGCGAAGGCGGCCGGCUGGGGGUGACCUGACGCUGAGGCGCGAAAGCGUGGGGAGCGAACCGG